AAAAAUAAAACUAAAAACGAUCAAAUAAGAGGGACUUUAGUGCAAGGUUACUUAUAACCACAACCCAUACGCUGAUUCUUCAAUAUCAGUCGGUUCGCACAUUCAUUUAAUUUCACCCAACUUGAUGUCUUGAGCAGAAAGAUCGUAAAUGAUGAUAAGCUUCAAUGUGCAAAACUGAGAAUAAGAGUGGCAAGAAACUACGGAAAGAAAUUGAAGGACGUAAGGGCAUCACGAAACAAAACAUUCACUAACGUUUGUUAAUUUUUGCAGGUAAAAGAGUUCAAAGUCUCUUGUAUCUAAUUAGAGAUACAACACAUGGAAGUUAUCACAAGAGAAAACAUCAGCAACAGAAAACAUGUGCCCAAGUAAAGUGUUGUUAAAGUGGUGAAUUGCUCGAGUCAGUCUCGGCGGGAGGAAACAUUCCAGCCAACAUUUGAUUUCGAUGGAAGUGUUUCCAACAACUUUUCAUUAAAGCUGUCGCGCAUGGAGCCUCGGUCUUGAAAGAUCACGGUAUUCAAGCAAGUGCCUGCAGCAGCUAGCUUCAGUCUUCAAGGAAAAGGAUUGGAACUUGCACGCAUGAUCUUGAAAUAUUGGAAAAAAGCUUAACUCUCGCAUGCCCCUCUCAUCAGUCCAGUAUUAUCCAUCGUUGGAACUUGCACGCAUGAUCCUGGAACUUAGGAAAAAAGCUUAACUUCAGCACGCCUCUCCAGCUAUCAGUCCAGCGUUUGUCUCGCACGCCUUCAUGUAAUGAGCCACCAGCGUAUUUAAUAUACACAUGCUGGAUACGCAUGGGCAGCACUAGUGUCAGCCAGUCGUUUGUCUCGCAAUUAAAUGAGCCAACAGCGUAAAUACACAUGCUGGAUACGUAUGGGCAGCAGUCUUGCACGCCUAUAUGUAUUGAGCCACCAAUUUAAUAUUCACAUGCUGGAUAUGCAUGGGCAGCACUAUACAUUUUCAGUCAGCCAACUUUUGGUUUAGGGAAUUGGAGUGCAAAGGUGCUAGAGAAUCGAGUCAAAUGUGGUAUUCCAAGGAUUCCAUAUUACCAGUGAUGCACGCUGAGAAAUGUCGCAUGCUUCGUUACAAAUCCUUGAGCAACUGUCGCAGACCUUUGUUCAAUUCAACACGUCGCAGUGGCGUAUUAUUGUGAUGCCACUUAUUAUGACCUCUAUGGGUGGUAUUAGCAUUUUUUGCUCAUUCCCUUGAGGAAAGAAAGGUGACAUUGCAUGGGCAAGACUUGAAAUUUCUGUCUUAACUUAUUUUUUUCAUUUUCAUUGGUCUUUCGGACUUUGUAAUUUAUUUUAUUCGAACUUUUUUUUAAUAUUAUAAAAUCUAACCCUAGGCAAUUGCCUAGCGGAUUGCCAAAAAAAAAAAGAUAUUUCAUCCACAUAGACUGCCACAACAACCAGACAACCAAGUAGGCCUUUGAUAAACAGAGAAUAAUCAUUCAAAGAAUGAGUAUAUCCUCUAGAGUAGAAAGCAGAAAACAGCUUAGCAUACCAUUGUCUGGAUGCAUGUCUCAACCCAUAGAGAUAUUUUUUCAACUUACAGACAAGAGGAGGAGAUACAGGGGAAACAGAAUCGGUAGAAGAGACAGAAACUGAUAAACCUGGAGGAAGCUUCAUAUAGACCUCCUCAUCCAAA
rnacentral:lncRNA from 1 species